ACCCACGGCCACGUGGAUGUUACACAAGAUUGAUGGCAAGUAUCAAAAAACAUCAACCCUAGUGCAGUGCAGUGGCCAUCGACAAUGAAUGAAUGAGCAUGCAGAACACUUCAGUCUACAUUCUAUUGUGGAGAAGGUCAAACCUUUGCCCAUACCGUGCACCAUGUACCAGAUCCAGAGUGGGUCACCUACACUGCACUGUACAGCGUUGCUCCUACACAGUCUCCAUGAUACAAGACUGGUUGGUGUUACCAACGGCUGAUCCAUGAGACUAACCAACUGCAUGGCUCCUCAAUGACAAGGAACGUCUUCCGUGAGCGCCUAUAUAUGGUAUAGGAGAGAUGCAACUCCUUCAAACACAGUACCUGUUAAGUAUGCAUGUACUCUAAAUUGAUGCACUUCAGAAGCAAACACUUCAGAAAGAGGCAAAAGUCUUCCAAAGAAAAAUGGUUUCUCAAACCCACUGUCACAACACGUCUGGAAUCCUUUUAGGCUUAAAGUCGCCUCUUAUCUCUGAGAAAGACGCAGUGUGAUACCCAGUGACACGUACAAGAGAGUGUGCCAUUGAAGCACUCAUCGAGAUGCUCAUUCCAUGUAUGUUGUACACUACAAAGUAAACUACCUUAAUGAUGAUAAACUGAUACUAAUUUUAGCGAGUUUUACCGAAUUCGCUAAAUUAUGUCCGCGCUAAUAAUAAAACGAAAAUGUACUUUGAGAGUAUACUAAGCAAGCUAGCCCUUUUUUCAUCUUUAUCUGACUCCAAACUUUCCAUUCAACCUUAAAACUUGUAUAUACAUAUUAAUAUUGUGGUAAUGAAUUUGCUACAAAUCCGCCAAAAUUAGUAACCCUAAAAACAGAGAAAAAUCUGAAAGCGCCGAUUUUGUUUGAGUAUUUUUGUAGCAGUGGUGAUGGUUGAAAAGGAGCAAAAGGAGCUUGCUCUACCUGGACUCUGGUGAAUUCUAAUAUGUAGACUUUGAUACACGUCGUGGAGUCUUGGUAGCUACCGAAGGUUAAAAAUUACUACGUGUCUAUAAAAGGUACUCGAUCAGCCACUCUUUUAAUUGUCACACUUUUUACAAGCCCAUGCAUUACAUGCAUAAAAAGGCUGAAACUAGCCCCCGAAAAUUAAAUGCGAAAUUCUUUAUACGUAUGUUCUGCGAAACAUACCAUGGAUUGGGUACAAGUAUUGUGUAAACAAUUUAUCAUGAAUGAGCAAACUUUGAAUUAGGCCCUGGUAAAUUAUGGCUUAAUUUUGAGGCAUACCGUAUUACUAGAAUGUUUUGCGAGCAUAAUAAAUAUGUGAAUAUGCAAAAUUUGCGAGGGUUGAUCAAUUCACAAAACCAGUGCUAUUAUAUUAUGAUCCUUGCCAGAAUGCAAUAUUUAGAUCGCAAGGGGUCAAAUUUUCUGCUGAUUUGGCUCACCGUAUUACUAGAAUGUUUUGCGAGAAUCAAACAUUUGUGAAUUUGCGAGGGUUGAUCAAUUCGCAACAAUAAAAUCCGUAAAACCUAAAUUAU